rnacentral:rRNA from 1 species
GUCAUAUGCUUGUCUCAAAGAUUAAGCCAUGCAUGCCUAAGAACACGUACUUGUACUACGAAUCCGUAUACGGCUCAUUAUAACAGCUUUUAUUUAAGGGAGUUAUGGAUUUUCCAUUGGAUAACUAUGGUAAUUCUAUAGCUAAUACAUUCAUGCAAAGUGUAACUCACGAAGCACUGAAUUUAUUAGAUCAAAGCCAUUCCGGUUCUGCCGGUUCUUGAUGACUCAUAGUGACUUAUCUAAUCGUAUGGCCUUAGCGCUGGCGAUGCAUCCCUUUAAGAGGCUGACCUAUCAACUUUCGAUGGUAAGUUAAAGGCUUACCAUGGUUAUAACGGGUAACGGGAAAUCAGGGUUUGAUUCCGGAGAGGGAGCCUUAGAAACGGCUACCACAUCUACGGAUGGCAGCAGGCACGUAACAUUCCCAAUGCUUGAAAAGCGAGGAUGUGAAGAUAAAUAACAAUAUGAGCCAUUAUGGUAUCAUAAUUGUAAUGAGAUCAGUUUAAAUAACUUACCGAGUAACAAUUGGAGGGCAAGUCUGGUGCCAGCAGCCGCGGUAAUUCCAGCUCCAAUAGUGUAUAUUAAAGUUGUUGCAGUUAAAACGCUCGUAGUCGUAACUGAGGUAGCUUUCUGUCAUGUACCCUCGGGUACUUGAUAGUAACUGCCUUCCCAGUCGUGUACACUGCUGAUGUGCCUAACCGUAUGCCAGUAGAGACCGACAAGUUUACUUUGAAAAAAUUAGAGUGCUUAAAGCAGGCUUUUGCUUGAAUAUUGAUGCAUGGAAUAAUGGAAUAGGACUUUGGUUCUAUUUUAUUGGUUUUCGGAACUGAAGUAAUGGUUAAAAGAGACAGCCGAGGGCAUACGUACGCUGGUGUGAGAGGUGAAAUUCAUAGAUCAUCAGCAGACGAACAACUGCGAAAGCUUUUGCCCAGAAUGUUCCCAUUGAUCAAGAACGAAAGUCAGAGGAUCGAAGGCGAUCAGAUACCGCCCUAGUUCUGACCAUAAACUAUGCCAACUGACGGUUCGUUAAGGCACACGUUAAGCCUUGCGAGCAGUCACCGGGAAACUAAAGUCUAUGGGUUCCGGGGGAAGUAUGGUUGCAAAGCUGAAACUUAAAGGAAUUGACGGAAGGGCACCACCAGGGGUGGAGCCUGCGGCUUAAUUUGACUCAACACGGGAAAUCUCACCCGGUCCGGACACUGUGAGGAUUGACAGAUUGAUAGCUCUUUCUUGAUUCGGUGGGUGGUGGUGCAUGGCCGUUCUUAGUUGGUGGAUUGAUUUGUCUGGUUAAUUCCGAUAACGAACGAGACUCUAACCUACUAACUAGUACUUGCGUGAACUUCUUUAGCGCAAAUUAACUUCUUAGAGGAAUUAGCGACUUUUAGUCGAAUGAAAUAGAGCAAUAACAGGUCUGUGAUGCCCUUAGAUGUCCGGGGCCGCACGCGCGCUACAAUGGCAGUACCAGCGAGUUUUUUUCCUAGCCUGAAAGGGUCGGGUAACCUGCGAAUUACUGUCAUAUCUGGAAUAGUGGUUUGAAAUUAUUCCACUUGAACGAGGAAUCCCUAGUAAGUACAAGUCACUAGCUUGUGCUGAUUACGUCCCUGCCCUUUGUACACACCGCCCGUCGCUACUACCGAUUGAAUGAGUUAGUGAGGUUGUUGGAUCUGGCUCUAAGUGACGACAGUUACUAUGAGUCGGAAAAGACACCCUAACUUGCUUGUUUAGAGGAAGUAAAAGUCGUAACAAG